rnacentral:rRNA from 1 species
GACGAACGCUGGCGGCGUGCUUAACACAUGCAAGUCGAACGGAAAGGCCCUGCUUUUGUGGGGUGCUCGAGUGGCGAACGGGUGAGUAACACGUGAGUAACCUGCCCCUGACUUUGGGAUAACUUCAGGAAACUGGGGCUAAUACCGGAUAGGAGCUCCUGCUGCAUGGUGGGGGUUGGAAAGUUUCGGCGGUUGGGGAUGGACUCGCGGCUUAUCAGCUUGUUGGUGGGGUAGUGGCUUACCAAGGCUUUGACCGGUAGCCGGCCUGCGAGGAUGACCGGACACGUUGGGACUGGGAUGCGGCCCAGACUCGUACGGGAGGCAGCAGUGGAGAAUAGUGCACAAUGGGCGGAAGCCUGAUGCAGCAACGCCGCGUGCGGGAUGACGGCCUUCGGGUUGUAAACCGAUUUCGCCUGUGACGAAGCGUGAGUGACGGUAAUGGGUAAAGAAGCACCGGCUAACUACGUG